rnacentral:rRNA from 1 species
UACGUAGGUGGCAAGCGUUAUCCGGAUUUAUUGGGCGUAAAGGGAACGCAGGCGGUCUUUUAAGUCUGGUGUGAAAGCCUUCGGCUUAACUGGAGUAGUGCAUUGGAAACUGGGAGACUUGAGUGCAGAAGAGGAGAGUGGAACUCCAUGUGUAGCGGUGAAAUGCGUAGAUAUAUGGAAGAACACCAGUGGCGAAAGCGGCUCUCUGGUCUGUAACUGACGCUGAGGUUCGAAAGCGUGGGUAGCAAACAGG